rnacentral:rRNA from 1 species
GAUGAACGCUGGCGGCGUGCCUAAUACAUGCAAGUCGAGCGAACGGACGAGAAGCUUGCUUCUCUGAUGUUAGCGGCGGACGGGUGAGUAACACGUGGAUAACCUACCUAUAAGACUGGGAUAACUUCGGGAAACCGGAGCUAAUACCGGAUAAUAUUUUGAACCGCAUGGUUCAAAAGUGAAAGACGGUCUUGCUGUCACUUAUAGAUGGAUCCGCGCUGCAUUAGCUAGUUGGUAAGGUAACGGCUUACCAAGGCAACGAUGCAUAGCCGACCUGAGAGGGUGAUCGGCCACACUGGAACUGAGACACGGUCCAGACUCCUACGGGAGGCAGCAGUAGGGAAUCUUCCGCAAUGGGCGAAAGCCUGACGGAGCAACGCCGCGUGAGUGAUGAAGGUCUUCGGAUCGUAAAACUCUGUUAUUAGGGAAGAACAUAUGUGUAAGUAACUGUGCACAUCUUGACGGUACCUAAUCAGAAAGCCACGGCUAACUACGUGCCAGCAGCCGCGGUAAUACGUAGGUGGCAAGCGUUAUCCGGAAUUAUUGGGCGUAAAGCGCGCGUAGGCGGUUUUUUAAGUCUGAUGUGAAAGCCCACGGCUCAACCGUGGAGGGUCAUUGGAAACUGGAAAACUUGAGUGCAGAAGAGGAAAGUGGAAUUCCAUGUGUAGCGGUGAAAUGCGCAGAGAUAUGGAGGAACACCAGUGGCGAAGGCGACUUUCUGGUCUGUAACUGACGCUGAUGUGCGAAAGCGUGGGGAUCAAACAGGAUUAGAUACCCUGGUAGUCCACGCCGUAAACGAUGAGUGCUAAGUGUUAGGGGGUUUCCGCCCCUUAGUGCUGCAGCUAACGCAUUAAGCACUCCGCCUGGGGAGUACGACCGCAAGGUUGAAACUCAAAGGAAUUGACGGGGACCCGCACAAGCGGUGGAGCAUGUGGUUUAAUUCGAAGCAACGCGAAGAACCUUACCAAAUCUUGACAUCCUUUGACAACUCUAGAGAUAGAGCUUUCCCCUUCGGGGGACAAAGUGACAGGUGGUGCAUGGUUGUCGUCAGCUCGUGUCGUGAGAUGUUGGGUUAAGUCCCGCAACGAGCGCAACCCUUAAGCUUAGUUGCCAUCAUUAAGUUGGGCACUCUAAGUUGACCGCCGGUGACAAACCGGAGGAAGGUGGGGAUGACGUCAAAUCAUCAUGCCCCUUAUGAUUUGGGCUACACACGUGCUACAAUGGACAAUACAAAGGGCAGCGAAACCGUGAGGUCAAGCAAAUCCCAUAAAGUUGUUCUCAGUUCGGAUUGUAGUCUGCAACUCGACUACAUGAAGCUGGAAUCGCUAGUAAUCGUAGAUCAGCAUGCUACGGUGAAUACGUUCCCGGGUCU